UUCGACCUGGACUCAGACGUGAACACCCGCUGAACUUAAGCAUAU
rnacentral:rRNA from 1 species